UUUCGACACACUAUCAUUAACUGAAUCCAUAGGUUAAUGAGGCGAACCGGGGGAACUGAAACAUCUAAGUACCCCGAGGAAAAGAAAUCAACCGAGAUUCCCCCAGUAGCGGCGAGCGAACGGGGAGCAGCCCAGAGCCUGAAUCAGUGUGUGUGUUAGUGGAAGCGUCUGGAAAGGCGCGCGAUACAGGGUGACAGCCCCGUACACAAAAAUGCACAUA
rnacentral:rRNA from 1 species